rnacentral:rRNA from 1 species
GAUGAACGCUGGCGGCGUGCCUAAUACAUGCAAGUCGAGCGAACGGACGAGAAGCUUGCUUCUCUGAUGUUAGCGGCGGACGGGUGAGUAACACGUGGAUAACCUACCUAUAAGACUGGGAUAACUUCGGGAAACCGGAGCUAAUACCGGAUAAUAUUUUGAACCGCAUGGUUCAAAAGUGAAAGACGGUCUUUCUGUCACUUAUAGAUGGAUCCGCGCUGCAUUAGCUAGUUGGUAAGGUAACGGCUUACCAAGGCAACGAUGCAUAGCCGACCUGAGAGGGUGAUCGGCCACACUGGAACUGAGACACGGUCCAGACUCCUAAGGGAGGCAGCAGUAGGGAAUCUUACGCAAUGGGCGAAAGCCUGACGGAGCAACGCCGCGUGAGUGAUGAAGGUCUUCGGAUCGUAAAACUCUGUUAUUAGGGAAGAACAUAUGUGUAAGUAACUGUGCACAUCUUGACGGUACCUAAUCAGAAAGCCACGGCUAACUACGUG